UACAGAGGGGGCAAGCGUUUGUUCGGAAUUACUGGGCGUAAAGGGCGCGUAGGCGGCCUGCUAAGUCGAACGUGAAAUCCCCGGGCUCAACCCGGGAACUGCGUCCGAUACUGACAGGCUUGAAUCCGGGAGAGGGAUGUGGAAUUCCAGGUGUAGCGGUGAAAUGCGUAGAUAUCAGGAGGAACACCGGUGGCGAAGGCGGAUCUCUGGGCCUUACCUGACGCUCAGGCGCGAAAGCUAGGGGAGCGAACAGG
rnacentral:rRNA from 1 species